UUUUUCUUUUCCUCAUUUCAAUACCAAACACCCCUUAACCUUUUCUGUCUCAGGGUUUGCGAAAACGCUAGCCGCCGCCUGCUUCCCCUCCCUCUCUCCUAUGUUACGUUGCCGGAUAUGGCAAAGACGAGGGCCCAUAUGGCUUUUGCAGCUGUGAAGUUGGCCGAGAAUGGCAAGAGCAUUAAAUGCUUUGCAAUUUUGCACCUAUCACCAACCAAAGGCCACUCCAAACACGGUAUAUCUCUCUUCUCUCCCGACUUUUCUAUGAAUCAAUGGUUAAAACUCGGAAAAUCCUUAAUGGUUUUUGUUUCCAUACGUUUUGAAUACUGAUUUUUCAUUGGUUCAUAAAGAAUCAUACGAAUUGGCUUUGAUUGGGUCAAAUCUAACCUUUGAUUUGUUAGUGUGUUUGAUUCCUAACUGUUAGAUGUGGUUUUGAGAGAAGCAAACUCUCAGAUUUGCUAUACUCCCACAUCGAUUACAAACUAGGGUUUGAGAAUUUGGGGGUUCUAUAUAGAACUCCAUUCUCCACUAUUUCAAGAAGUUUGGGCAUAUUGAUAUACCACUAUACUAAAAAUAAAAAAUAAAAACUCAAAUACCUAGGGUUUUCAGCAUAAAAAUUGCGAGAAACUUUAAUUUUUGAGUUAAGUUUAAGUUUUAAAAUUUGAUUGCUUGUGUUGCGUGUGGCUGAGGUGAUUUGGGAGCAAGGAGAAUCUCUAAGUCCAACCUCGACUUGGCUGCACGAGCAAAAGGUACUUUUUCAUCCUUUUCUUUAAUUUAGUUACUUUAUAUAUUUUCUCUUAUGUGAUUAUGUAGUAGUUUAGCUUAGUUUAAAAUACUCAUAGUUAAUUUAUAUUUCUUCUGCUAUGCAUUUGUUAGAGUAGUUUAGUAUUAAUCUCUGCUCAUUUGAUAGUGUUUUAGCUAAUUUGAGACUGCUUAGUAUUAAUGUUUGGCUUAUGAUCAUUUUGAAUCAGUGUAGCUCUUGCCCUUAGCUUAGAAUGAUAAUGUGAUCUAUUCUUAUGGUAUAGUUUAGUUGCUUCUUGGUCAGUGUUGAAUUUGCUUACAAAUCAAGUUUGGUUUCUUUUUGUUCUUUUUUAGUCCAAGACUGUUGUACACUAUUUAGCUCAUGUUUUAGUCUAGAUUGGUUAUCUUGUGGCAGUUUGCUUUGGUUUAAUAUUCAGACAUAGUCAUGUGGGUUGCUUAGUAGUCCAUAGGUCAUUUGGAACAUAAGUGGUUAAUAUAAUGUAAUCAUAUAUCAAGUGUGGUUUUGAAUAUGAACUGAUGAACUGGUAUUAGAUAAUAGAUACUUGUCUGUAUUUGUUGAAGCCCAUAAACCUGAUAUGAGUUCCAAUUUUCUAAAAAAGGUUGUAGUAUGGUGGUUUAACCAAACUGUUUGGAGUCUAUAUUUUUUAGAUCACCCUUAGAAGCUAUGAGCUGUCAAAGAUGUGUCAAAGGCUGUUUCUCUUGUUUGUGGUUUAAACCUUUUUCUGUCAAAAGAUUUUAAAUGAACACUGAGUUUAGACCACAGUCCAUGGUCUACUUUGCUUUCCAGUCUUUGUUUAAACAUUGUUAAAGUGAGUAUACUAGUUUAACUGAGUCAGUUUGGUUCUCCUGUUGGUUCUUAUAUCUGUGUUUUGCUGUCUAAAAGAAAAGAGGAAUUUAGGUUCUUAAUCUCAUCUAGGAGGUCUUGUUCUUCAUAAACUAUCUACACACUUAUUUGAUUACUCAGAUUUAAAAAAAAAAGACUGUUCUUGUUUUUUACAUGUCUAGUCUUGUGUAAUCUGGAGUCCUAUUUGGCACUAUUUAAUCACUGGUUUACUAUGGUAAUUGUCAUAAUGGGUAAAUCCCACACUUGAUAAUAUGAAAGUUUAGUUAACUGAUUAGGUAAACAAGUUUAAAAAUGAUUGAACUAAUUUUCCUUGGAGUUAGUUAAAUCUCUUAAGUUUACAGAUUAGGAGUUAAGUAAAACAGGAUCAUGGUUUAUUUCUUAUUUUCUCUUGUUUGUCCUCUGCGUUCCUAAAUGUUAAACACAUCAACUGCCACUGCCUGUGUCCUGUGUUGUUUUAUGGGUUUUGAUAUUAAAUUGGCUUCAAAGUCAGGACCUCAACUUUCUUGUUACUAUUUUGACAUCUGACCAAACUGAGUAGUCAUUUGAACCUGAUUUAUGGAGUAGGAUAUUUAUUUAUAUGGACUUUAAAGGACUGAAAAUAGGGAGUAAAGAUUUGAAGUUGAAUUACUUGUGUCCUGUUGUCUUGUUCUGUUGAAACUUAUAAUGUUAAGGUGAUUUCUUUGUCUCUCCAUGCUCAUGAGAUGUCUUUAGGUAGAAAUCUUGAACCAUGUAUAUCCCCUCCCCUUACCCUUUAUUUGUUUGAACUAAAUAUCAGCUAUAUACAAUAGAUAUACAUAGGAUAUACAUAGGAUAUACAAGUCCAGUAUACAUUCUGAUGUACCCAGAGUUGUAUAUAAUGUAUAUCACCUGAAUUUCUCUUAAAAUGAGCUUAAACAUGGCAUCAUGGGCUUGUCUGAUCCAAUCUGUUUGUCUUCACGUGAACCUUAUGGGCUUGAGUCCAAUUUGAAUCAUCAAGGCUUUGAUAUAAAUUUUUUCUGAAACUGUUUUCAUUUUUUUACCGUCUGGGCCUGCGUUUGUGUAUCCUUGGGCUUUGAAUAGUGCUCACGUCUCAUCCAAACUUGUUGAAGUGUAUAUCUGAAUUAAAUCUGUUUAGUAUAUGUAUGUUUGAAUACUUGUGUAUUUUAAUUUCUGUUUAAUUGUUGUGAAUAAGUUGGGUGCGUUCGAACCCCAAAUCUCUUUUUCCCCUUUCUCUUUGCAUGGCAUACUACUUGGGUACUCUUCUCUUUUUUAAACCAUGUUGGUCCUGAGGCCCAAUUUCCUUGAUCGAGUCCGCAUGAUUUUAGAAAGGGAAGCUAAUAUAUUGAAGGCCCAACCAUAGGUGAAAAUGAUCACUGGUCGGCUUAGGAGUUCUCUGAUCUUAUGCAAAGUGAGUUUGAAAUGAGCAUGAUGGAAGAAUUAACCUUCUUAUUGGGAGUCCAAAUUGUCCAAAGUAAGGAUGAAACCUUUAUUUGCCAAACCAAGUAAACUAAAGAACUUAUUCAAAAGUUUGGCAUGACUGAAGCUAAAGCUUUAGGGACUCCAGUGAGCCCUACCAACUCUCUCGAUAAAGAUGAAGAAGGAAAGCCUGUUGAUGAAUCUAAAUAUUGUGGACCUCGAUAUCCUUACUGCAGAAUGUGGAUGAGCUUACUGUUCACAGUCUUAGUUUAAUGCAAAGUUCCUGAUCAGAUUCUGCAUUUAGUAACCAGUAUUCAGGUUGUUGCAGUACAAAUGUACAAUAUGUUUCUAUAUGUGCUUUGGGAACUUCCUUCAGUGAUUGCAUCGCUGCUACAUAAAAGGGAGACCAGUUUGGGAAGUUCAGACUUGUACAGAAAAUACUUAAGGCUAGAGAGACAUUAAUUUGAAGUUGUUGGUUACUCCUCAGAUGAUGUGAUCCAAACGAGCUCCUUCUCUAUCAAGAAGCUAAACCAUGGGUGACUUUCCCAAAGUGAGUUGGAGGAAAUUGAUAUGCAAUAACUUGAGAGCACCCAAGUGGUGCUUCAUACUAUACCUAGCAAUCAAUUAUAGGCUGCUCACCAAGGAUACAUGCAUUGGCAAGUUGGAAAGACAUGGAUGACUUGUUGUGCCCUCUCUGUGAGGUGGAGGAAGAAACCAUUGAUCAUCUGUUCUUUAAAUGUUCAUUAUCCUCUUCUUAUGGGGUAAGGUGUUGGUCUGGCAAGGUGUUAACGGGGGUUCACUAUGUUGGAAGGAUGAAAUACAAUGGGCAAUAUCACAUACUAAAGGAAGAAGUACUGGUGUUUCUAUUUUCAGAAUGUCCGACGACAUGCUGCUCCUAUACAACUUGGAUCGAAGGAACAGAAGGAUUUUCCAAAAGCAGAAAGUUGCAGUAGGUAGUUUAGUGAAGCAAGUAGUGCGAGAAGUAUAUUGUUGUGGUGCUAAGUAGGGCAGGCUAAGGGGUAGACUUCAUAGCUUAAACUAUUAUUCCUAAGCUUGUGUGAGGAGUGCUAGAUCUUGGUUGCAGUGAUGCCUGGUAGUGCAGGUUUGAGGUUAUCCAAACUCUGCUGUUUUUGUUUUCCUGCUCU